CCCCCACUGUACUGUGAAGCUCAGGGCAAGACUUUCUAAAAGUCUUCUGCCUACACCUGACAUGCUGUCCAGUGUGCACAGUUAUAUGUUGACUGUAUGAAGAUGGUGAAGGCUUUUCUGUAGUUGCAGAUCUCGCAAAAGGGGAGGAAGGCCUUCACCGCUGAACCCGAGCUUUGCCAUUUCGAAGUGCUGAGUCACCUCGUCCUCUCAGGGUCAGACACUUUCACGCAGGAAACGUCCUGCAGAGCACCGCAGCGGGAGCACCGAGCUGGGUGGUAAUUUAUUCUAGAACCGAUGUGCCAGCGUUUCCUUCUGUGUGCUUUGAGUAGGAGCAGGAACAACGGAUCUCUCCAAGCAUGGGCAGACGGAGAGCUGCAACCCUUGGACCAACCAACGCCUGCCAGUGGGCGCCUGCAUCCCACGCCUGCAUCCCGCGUGCAGGCUACUGGCAGGUGCUCUGUGUCUCACUCCAUCUUUACCUGCCCUGUAAAGGAGGAACUGUUGUUUUUAGUCUCCUGGAGCAGCCGCGCCUUCCCACAGCACUCAGACUUGAGGAAGCUUAAGAAGCUGAGACCAGAGAGGGCGAUGUCCACCUUGGUGACGAAGCACUCUAGAGGCUGCCGCCACACUUAAAAAGUGACCAGUCACCAACAACUCAUCUUAAGUACAGGAAGAAUGCCAGCAGCUGAAUGAAAUUCUUGCUUUCCCUGGUGAACAACGAAGGGGAAGGGAAUGGAGUGUGGUGAAAGAGAGGGCAGAAAGGCUGCCAGUGUCCUCUUCAUCCCUGCCCCACCCCCACCCCCACCCCCCAGCACAGAGAGACCCGGGAAGAUUUCAAAUCUUUCCUUUAAGUGGCGGCUAAGGACAAAAUGAAAUGACUUAGCCACCUAUCAUGGUCUUUACUGAGUUAUAUCCAUGGAUAUAAGAUAAUUUGGCAUCUAAAAAACAAAGACAGGGCCAGUAAAAUGGCUCACUGGGUAAAGGUGCCCGCUGCCAAGCCAGAGCACCUGGGUUUGGUCCUUGGAACUCACACGGUGGGGAGAACAGAUCCCUUCAUGCUGUGUGCUGAUGCCCACAUGCAUGUUAGGAAAACACUUCCAGCCCCCUAAACUAACUUUUUCUAUUCCGUACUCUGCCUGUGACUAGACCUGGAAGGAGAGAACAAGGGCCUUCCUGAGGCAGGACAAGGACCCAGAACUACCCAGAAUGCAGCAGGGCGGCCCCGCACGACUGAGCUCUGAUCCUAACCUGCAAAGUGAAGUUUCAAUUUCCACUUCCUGAGAAGAUGUGGAAACUCAGAGAGGAUGCCACUGUUUUGAACUAUUUUGAAGGCACAGCCACCAGAGCUUUAGGGACAGGGUAUUUUAUCACAGCAACAGAAAUGAAACCAAAACAACUCCACAAUAAAAUUCUUGAGUUUCUUGGGGCCAAGAAGAUGACACGAUAAGAUAAAGACACUGGCCAAGCAUGACCUCCAGAGUUUGGCCCUUGCAUAAAGGAGAAAAUUAAUUCCUUCAGUUGUUCUCUGACCUCCACAUGCGUCCUGUAACAUGGGUGUAUGCAUACACAUAAACACACAUCCACACGUUGUUAAAUAAAUAAAAAAAAUAUGUUAACA
rnacentral:lncRNA from 1 species